UCUCUCUGCAUUUACCUCCUGUCUUUGUCCUGUUUGAUCGUCUGCACCUGUCGGUCCCAAUGUGUUUCACCUGUCUUCAGUUAUCCCUGCCUCCCUGGUGUAUGUGUUUCCCUUUGUCUUUGUCCAGUCUUCUGUUCAUGUUUCACCAUCAUCAGUCUACGCCUGGAGUUUUGGAUUUGCAGUUUAUCUACAUGCCGUCCAGGACCCAGAGGGUUACAUGUACUCAUCUUCCUCAUCAUCCUCCUCUUCAGCCCCCAGCCAAUUACAGUUGACACGCCUGUACCUGACAGUUAACCAUGCUCGAGGUGUAGGACAGUGCAGUGCUGCAGGCAGCAAAUGGAGGAGACUGUUUUGUGUGUUGGUGUUGUUACUAAAGAACUGCAACCCAGAAGAAGAGAGGACAGAUGUCAGAUUCUUUGUGGCCUGUGUCGUCUGCGAAGCCAAGAUUUCCUGCUUUGAUGGCCUGUGUGCCUGUCAUUAAACAUUAAAUCACAUACUUUAUGAGGAGAAUGUGUCCAAAACUGCAUUUCAAAAAAUAAAGCUUGAUUUGUCGA